GGAUGGGUGAGUAACACGUAGGCAACCUGCCUGUAAGAUCGGGAUAACUACCGGAAACGGUAGCUAAGACCGGAUAACUAACCGGAUCGCAUGAUGCGGUUAUGAAACACGGCGCAAGCUGUGGCUUACGGAUGGGCCUGCGGCGCAUUAGCUAGUUGGUGGGGUAACGGCCCACCAAGGCGACGAUGCGUAGCCGACCUGAGAGGGUGAUCGGUCACACUGGAACUGAGACACGGUCCAGACUCCUACGGGAGGCAGCA
rnacentral:rRNA from 1 species